GCCGCUCACAGCCCGGCAGUCGGAGCUGCCGCAGAGCCCAGCACGGUUCUGGAGGGAAACGUGCGCCCUUCCCAGCCGUGUUUACUGCACGUUGUGGCAGCGCUGCAGGCUGUGGCUCAGCUCUGCACGUGUUCUCCUCUCUCCCCUCCUCUCACUCCUCUGGUAACUUCCGCAUCCAUCCCGAUCCUGCUUGGUGCUGGAAGGUGCUGGCUUGCAGUGCAGUCUUUGCUUUGCAAGCACUGUGCAGGGAGCAGCAGGAUGAGGAAACAGCCAUACGUACACACUGCGUUUCCCACGACUUGCUCUUCUUCCAAGCAGUGGUUCUGAGCCCUGGAAGUCAUCCUCUGACACGAAGCAGACCUCUUUCAUCAAGCACAGCUCACACGAUGCACUGCAGCCGUCGCAGUGAGUCCGGGUCGGUUUGGCCCCUGGGCUGUCAGCAGCAACACCUCAGCAGGGUCAGCACCCUCCCAGCGCUGCCCAGCAGCAGCCCUUUGCUCGAAGGGACCUCGAGUGCAUGAUGGCAAUUUGUCCUCCACUGCAAAACACCGAAGCCAGAAAAUCAAGCCUUACAAGAAAAGCUGGCCUGGAGUCACUGUGAGCACGUAGGCUGUGUUGUCAUUGCGGGGCUGUGGCAGCUGCCAGUUGGAUUGGAAGCAUCGCGUGGCACUGCUGUGGGAAAUGACACCGUCGUGCUGGAAUUUACAAUGAAGCUGUGAAUGUAGCCGGAGCCCUGGGCUUCGCCGGGAGAAGGCCCCCUCGGCUGGCUUUAUUCAGCUCUAAUGAGGGGCCUGAGUUCGCCGUGAAAGGCGUGCUUUGCAUUUGGCCCCUUUCCUCCAUCAAUUGCUGUCAGCGUAACAGAAGGCCCCGCGCAGCUCCCCCACCCCGUGCGCC
rnacentral:lncRNA from 1 species